GGAUUGAUUCUUAAUUGACUGAGCGGCGGACGGGUGAGUAACGCGUGGGUGACCUGCCCCAUACCGGGGGAUAACAGCUGGAAACGGCUGCUAAUACCGCAUAAGCGCACAGAGCUGCAUGGCUCAGUGUGAAAAACUCCGGUGGUAUGGGAUGGGCCCGCGUCUGAUUAGGCAGUUGGCGGGGUAACGGCCCACCAAACCGACGAUCAGUAGCCGGCCUGAGAGGGCGACCGGCCACAUUGGGACUGAGACACGGCCCAAACUCCUACGGGAGGCAGCAGUGGGGAAUAUUGCACAAUGGGGGAAACCCUGAUGCAGCGACGCCGCGUGAGCGAAGAAGUAUUUCGGUAUGUAAAGCUCUAUCAGCAGGCAAGAUAAUGACGGUACCUGACUAAGAAGCCCCGGCUAACUACGUGCCAGCAGCCGCGGUAAUACGUAGGGGGCAAGCGUUAUCCGGAUUUACUGGGUGUAAAGGGAGCGUAGACGGCAAGGCAAGUCUGAUGUGAAAACCCAGGGCUUAACCCUGGGACUGCAUUGGAAACUGUCUGGCUCGAGUGCCGGAGAGGUAAGCGGAAUUCCUAGUGUAGCGGUGAAAUGCGUAGAUAUUAGGAAGAACACCAGUGGCGA
rnacentral:rRNA from 1 species